UGAGCCCACCGUUAUUAUGGAGCAUGAGGCCGUCAUAGGUGGAUUCAAAUGCCUUUACUGGCUAGUAAAAAACGAGAUCGCUCACCACACCAACUACCCUAAGCUGUUAAGUUUAGCUCAGCUUUUGGGUUGUGAUUACUUUGAAAAGCUGAAGGUGGAUCAAAGAAACAAUUAUCAAUCACACAGAAUAGUGGAUGAAAUGCUGGAGAUCCUUGCACAGAUAGUAGAGUUGCCUAUUUUGCAAGAGAUAAGGUCAUCUCAGGCAAUCAGCUUAGAGGUUGAUGAAACGACAGAUGUAUCUGUAAGCCGCCAGCUGGAUUUACAUGUUAGACACCUGGAUAAAGAGGGUUGUGUUUUCAACCACUUCCUUGACCUGGUAACUCUGGAAGAUGGGAAAGCUGACAGCGUGGUUGCUGCCAUCAAGAGUGUACUACUGAAGAAGGAGCUACCGGUAGACAGGCUCUAUGGACUCGGGACAGAUGGUGCAGCGGUGAUGACGGGCCGUCUGAAUGGAGUGGCAAAGCAGCUCACAGACAGUUUUCCAAAGCUGGUUUCUGUAGCGUGUGCUGCUCACAGACUAGCACUGGCAUGCAAAGAUGCCUCAAAUGCUGUCAGAUAUAUGGCACACUUCAGGAACCACCUGCAGGAACUGCACCUAUUUUUCAGAAAUAGUGCAAAUAGGUCAGCCACACUGAGAUCUGCCGCUACCACUCUUGGUCUGAACGACUUGAAAGUUAAGGAGGUGAAAGAUACAAGGUGGCUAUCGCAGGACCUAGCCGUUCAAAACCUCCAGAGGAACCUUCCAGCUGUGCUGGCUGCUCUGGCAGAAGAAGCGAGCACAAGGAAGUGCCCAGUGGCCAAAGGUCUAUACACCUUCUGUGCCACAUACCGCUUUGUGGCUGCCCUCUACCUUCAGGCAGAUGUGCUGCUCCACAUAGCAAUGCUGUCCAAGGUGUUUCAGAGAGCUGAUGUGAACUUUCUCCACAUAAAGGAGCAGUUAGAUUAUAAAGAAAUGCAUUUGAUGCUCUCAGUUAUUUGCAUUAUCCAUCCUAUUAUAUUGUUGUAUUUUUCCACAUUUAGGUGCCAGUCACACUUGUUACUCUGGGGAGAAUUCUGGAGGCAGGCGAGACCCCACUCCCCGGAACGUUCCUUGCUCGCCUACACCAAGACCUGGACAACCCAGGUGGACUUGGGGCCUUUAGGAUUGCCGGAGAGGAGGAGAGGAUCAGGAGGGGACACGGAAUUCUGGAGCGCCCCCGGGAAGAGAUGUGGGCCAGAUUUGUCAGAGAUGUCCUCAAACCUUACAUCUGCAGCCUGGAGAGCAACAUUGAGAGGAGGUUCCAGCAUAUUGAAUUGCUGGGGGCCUUCAGUGUCCUGGGUCCAAAGGCAGUUACCUCAAAUGAUGUAACCAACAUUUCAAUGUUGCAGACCCUUACCAACAAAUUCAUCCCAGGGCAGGAUGCCACAGUUAUUCAAGAGUGGACCUCGUACAAGCAGCAUGUUCUCGUAGGGGCAUUUAAGGUGAAAACUGACCUGAGAAACCGACUGAAAGGGGAGCACCUGGCUGCAUGUCUGCGGAUAGCAGUUAAUGGACCAGCACCAGAGGCGUUCCCAUACUCCCAGGCAUUGGAGCUGUUCUUCAUGAAAC